rnacentral:pre_miRNA from 1 species
UGGUUUUGUACUAAGUCAAACUUCUUAAAAUUUGACCAAGUUUAUAGAACAUAGUAAUGUUUCUAACACCAAGCAAAUGUACUGUUGCAUAUGUUUCAACAGUGGAUUUAAUGAAAUUAAUUUGGUGUUUUAGAUGUUGCUACAUUUGUCUAUAAACUUGGUCAAACCGUAAGUUUGACUUAGGGCAAAACCAA